rnacentral:rRNA from 1 species
CACGUUUGACAUGUCUAGUUUGGUCGGCAGAGAUGCCUUCCUUCAGUUCGGCUGGCUAGAACACAGGUGCUGCAUGGCUGUCGUCAGCUCGUGUCGUGAGAUGUUGGGUUAAGUCCCGCAACGAGCGCAACCCUCGCUACUAGUUGCUACCAGGUUAAGCUGAGCACUCUAGUGGAACUGCCGGUGCAAGCCGGAGGAAGGUGGGGAUGACGUCAAGUCCUCAUCGG